GGGUUGUGAGGUUAAGCGACUAAGCGUACACGGUGGAUGCCCUGGCAGUCAGAGGCGAUGAAGGACGUGCUAAUCUGCGAUAAGCGUCGGUAAGGUGAUAUGAACCGUUAUAACCGGCGAUUUCCGAAUGGGGAAACCCAGUGUGAUUCGUCACACUAUCAUUAACUGAAUCCAUAGGUUAAUGAGGCGAACCGGGGGAACUGAAACAUCUAAGUACCCCGAGGAAAAGAAAUCAACCGAGAUUCCCCCAGUAGCGGCGAGCGAACGGGGAGCAGCCCAGAGCCUGAAUCAGUGUGUGUGUUAGUGGAAGCGUCUGGAAAGGCGCGCGAUACAGGGUGACAGCCCCGUACACAAAAAUGCACAUGCUGUGAGCUCGAUGAGUAGGGCGGGACACGUGGUAUCCUGUCUGAAUAUGGGGGGACCAUCCUCCAAGGCUAAAUACUCCUGACUGACCGAUAGUGAACCAGUACCGUGAGGGAAAGGCGAAAAGAACCCCGGCGAGGGGAGUGAAAAAGAACCUGAAACCGUGUACGUACAAGCAGUGGGAGCACGCUUAGGCGUGUGACUGCGUACCUUUUGUAUAAUGGGUCAGCGACUUAUAUUCUGUAGCAAGGUUAACCGAAUAGGGGAGCCGAAGGGAAACCGAGUCUUAACUGGGCGUUAAGUUGCAGGGUAUAGACCCGAAACCCGGUGAUCUAGCCAUGGGCAGGUUGAAGGUUGGGUAACACUAACUGGAGGACCGAACCGACUAAUGUUGAAAAAUUAGCGGAUGACUUGUGGCUGGGGGUGAAAGGCCAAUCAAACCGGGAGAUAGCUGGUUCUCCCCGAAAGCUAUUUAGGUAGCGCCUCGUGAAUUCAUCUCCGGGGGUAGAGCACUGUUUCGGCAAGGGGGUCAUCCCGACUUACCAACCCGAUGCAAACUGCGAAUACCGGAGAAUGUUAUCACGGGAGACACACGGCGGGUGCUAACGUCCGUCGUGAAGAGGGAAACAACCCAGACCGCCAGCUAAGGUCCCAAAGUCAUGGUUAAGUGGGAAACGAUGUGGGAAGGCCCAGACAGCCAGGAUGUUGGCUUAGAAGCAGCCAUCAUUUAAAGAAAGCGUAAUAGCUCACUGGUCGAGUCGGCCUGCGCGGAAGAUGUAACGGGGCUAAACCAUGCACCGAAGCUGCGGCAGCGACGCUGAUGCGUUGUUGGGUAGGGGAGCGUUCUGUAAGCCUGCGAAGGUGUGCUGUGAGGCAUGCUGGAGGUAUCAGAAGUGCGAAUGCUGACAUAAGUAACGAUAAAGCGGGUGAAAAGCCCGCUCGCCGGAAGACCAAGGGUUCCUGUCCAACGUUAAUCGGGGCAGGGUGAGUCGACCCCUAAGGCGAGGCCGAAAGGCGUAGUCGAUGGGAAACAGGUUAAUAUUCCUGUACUUGGUGUUACUGCGAAGGGGGGACGGAGAAGGCUAUGUUGGCCGGGCGACGGUUGUCCCGGUUUAAGCGUGUAGGCUGGUUUUCCAGGCAAAUCCGGAAAAUCAAGGCUGAGGCGUGAUGACGAGGCACUACGGUGCUGAAGCAACAAAUGCCCUGCUUCCAGGAAAAGCCUCUAAGCAUCAGGUAACAUCAAAUCGUACCCCAAACCGACACAGGUGGUCAGGUAGAGAAUACCAAGGCGCUUGAGAGAACUCGGGUGAAGGAACUAGGCAAAAUGGUGCCGUAACUUCGGGAGAAGGCACGCUGAUAUGUAGGUGAAGUCCCUCGCGGAUGGAGCUGAAAUCAGUCGAAGAUACCAGCUGGCUGCAACUGUUUAUUAAAAACACAGCACUGUGCAAACACGAAAGUGGACGUAUACGGUGUGACGCCUGCCCGGUGCCGGAAGGUUAAUUGAUGGGGUCAGCGCAAGCGAAGCUCUUGAUCGAAGCCCCGGUAAACGGCGGCCGUAACUAUAACGGUCCUAAGGUAGCGAAAUUCCUUGUCGGGUAAGUUCCGACCUGCACGAAUGGCGUAAUGAUGGCCAGGCUGUCUCCACCCGAGACUCAGUGAAAUUGAACUCGCUGUGAAGAUGCAGUGUACCCGCGGCAAGACGGAAAGACCCCGUGAACCUUUACUAUAGCUUGACACUGAACAUUGAGCCUUGAUGUGUAGGAUAGGUGGGAGGCUUUGAAGUGUGGACGCCAGUCUGCAUGGAGCCGACCUUGAAAUACCACCCUUUAAUGUUUGAUGUUCUAACGUGGACCCGUAAUCCGGGUUGCGGACAGUGUCUGGUGGGUAGUUUGACUGGGGCGGUCUCCUCCUAAAGAGUAACGGAGGAGCACGAAGGUUGGCUAAUCCUGGUCGGACAUCAGGAGGUUAGUGCAAUGGCAUAAGCCAGCUUGACUGCGAGCGUGACGGCGCGAGCAGGUGCGAAAGCAGGUCAUAGUGAUCCGGUGGUUCUGAAUGGAAGGGCCAUCGCUCAACGGAUAAAAGGUACUCCGGGGAUAACAGGCUGAUACCGCCCAAGAGUUCAUAUCGACGGCGGUGUUUGGCACCUCGAUGUCGGCUCAUCACAUCCUGGGGCUGAAGUAGGUCCCAAGGGUAUGGCUGUUCGCCAUUUAAAGUGGUACGCGAGCUGGGUUUAGAACGUCGUGAGACAGUUCGGUCCCUAUCUGCCGUGGGCGCUGGAGAAUUGAGGGGGGCUGCUCCUAGUACGAGAGGACCGGAGUGGACGCAUCACUGGUGUUCGGGUUGUCAUGCCAAUGGCACUGCCCGGUAGCUAAAUGCGGAAGAGAUAAGUGCUGAAAGCAUCUAAGCACGAAACUUGCCCCGAGAUGAGUUCUCCCUGACUCCUUGAGAGUCCUGAAGGAACGUUGAAGACGACGACGUUGAUAGGCCGGGUGUGUAAGCGCAGCGAUGCGUUGAGCUAACCGGUACUAAUGAACCGUGAGGCUUAACCUUACAACGCCGAAG
rnacentral:rRNA from 1 species